rnacentral:rRNA from 1 species
UACGGAGGAUGCAAGCGUUAUCCGGAAUGCUUGGGCGUAAAGCGUCCGCAGGUGGCUGUGUAAGUCUGCUGUUAAAUAGUGAGGCUCAACCUCAUAAAGGCAGUGGAAACUACACGGCUAGAGUGCGUUCGGGGCAGAGGGAAUUCCUGGUGUAGCGGUGAAAUGCGUAGAGAUCAGGAAGAACACCGGUGGCGAAAGCGCUCUGCUAGGCCGCAACUGACACUGAGGGACGAAAGCUAGGGGAGCGAAUGGG